UGGUGAGUAGGAGUGUGUGGAUUGGGAUCUGGAGUGAAGGACUGGAAUUCAGGAGUUCCUGUGCCUGGAGAUGAUGCAGUUGUCUGAGGAUGCCCAAGGCAUUUUGCAGCCUAGAAGGCACUUCUGUGAUCUUUCCAAAUGGGAAAAUCUCUUGCCAUCUGCUGUGCUAGGUUCUAAAGCCAGGUUGCACAGUAGAGUUAGUAAAACCAUGUGUUUCCCCCUUCUGUAGAACAGGGGAUAAGUGCUCAUUUCCCCCUGCGGGGGUUGGCUAACAGUGGAUAUGUGUGGGCCAGUGAAAUGCUGUCUGGAUCACCACAUCUUAGAUGUGAUCUGUCUUCUGUGUGUCCCCAGCUUAGCAGACAUGUUUUAGCAAAGUGUCUUGUUUCUUUAUUAUUUUUUUUUUUUUGUAUGAAAACAAAGCAGCAGAGGUGCCUGGCUCCUCCUGCUGCACCGGUGACACUUUGUUUUGCUCUGGGGGCACUGACCGCACCAGCUGCUUUAAGGAGGAUGCAAGUUCCUAAGUUCUGCUCCAGUGUGAAAAGGAGCGAAUGGUAUUUCCUUCAACAACACAUGCUUUGUGUUUCCACAUGAUUUCAGUUAUACAAGCUUGCUUACUUCAUGUCCUUUUAUUUAUUUGAAAACUUCCCUCAGACAGCAGGGAAAGUGCUGCAAACCCACUGUAACGUUCAGCAGCCGUAGAGCAACUUAGAGCAACUUGGCAUGCAGCAGGGAACGAGCAUGCCUCUGGCACUUUGUUGCCAGCACAGAUGACGUGUGGCAGCAAUAAGGGCUUUAAGAACAGCUUUCUUGGAAGUGCCACUGUGCUGUGCUCUGCCCUGCUCUCAAAGAACAGAGUGAAAAAGGCACAGAAUCGGCUUGUGUUCAUAGGUGGGUUAUUUGUUGGUUGUGCUGACCUUGCCUCUGCCCCUUCAGGAGGAGCAUGGAGUAAGUCCUUUGUGGGGGGAAAUGCACUGGAGCUGCCCACUCAGGAUACUUACAUGGCCGUUCCAUGGUGCCACAAUUGUCAGUGAGGGGACAGCGUUGGAUGCUGGAGACCAGGGAUACCGCCUCUUAAAAACUGAUGUUCAGGCAGGACGAUCUUGUGCACUCACACUAUCAGUUGCCAGGAUUGUGCAUAAAUGUGCUUGUUUUCUGACAUUGCAAACUCAGUCUUGUAAAUGUUGGGGAAAUAGUUGGUAUCUGAAUUUUCUGUAUCUGCCAAUAUUUAAUUCAGGGAGCAAAUAAAAACUAUCCUGGUAUUA